AUUGAACGCUGGCGGCAUGCCUUACACAUGCAAGUCGAACGGCAGCACGGGAGCUUGCUCCUGGUGGCGAGUGGCGAACGGGUGAGUAAUACAUCGGAACGUACCCUGAAGUGGGGGAUAACGUAGCGAAAGUUACGCUAAUACCGCAUAUUCUGUGAGCAGGAAAGAGGGGGAUCGCAAGACCUCUUGCUUUAGGAGCGGCCGAUGUCGGAUUAGCUAGUUGGUGAGGUAAAGGCUCACCAAGGCGACGAUCCGUAGCGGGUCUGAGAGGAUGAUCCGCCACACUGGGACUGAGACACGGCCCAGACUCCUACGGAGGCAGCAGUGGGGAAUUUUGGACAAUGGGCGCAAGCCUGAUCCAGCCAUGCCGCGUGAGUGAAGAAGGCCUCGGUGUAAG
rnacentral:rRNA from 1 species